GGCUCACGUAGUACACGGAGCGCGCGCCCUGGCGGUUGCUCAAAGCUACCGCUUGGGCCGCAGGGACCACACUCCAGGCGGUGUGCAGCGGUCCAACUUGGUGCUAGGGCUCUCGCAAGCUUUAGGGCUGCGACCAUGUUCGCAUGGGCCAAGCGGGGUUUCAACAUAGAGUUCUUGGUGGCCAAGAGCGGUGGCACUGGGGGGAGUCCUGGAAGCUGGGGCUCGGGCUUCCAUCUUCUGGCUGUGGCUGCCUAAGAAUAACUGCUCAGGCCCAAGGAGCUCAACUACCCUCACCCCAGUGUGCCCAAAAUGGCUUUGGUGAGUGGCUUCCCAUCCACUGCCUCUGCCUGAGCCAGUCGCUUGCUCUAGGGAGGUCCCUAGCUGGUGUUCCCCCAGGCCAUGAACCGCUGAGUACUGAUGAUGUAUCGGGCUCACCAACUGGGCUCCUCCUUGCUUCAACCCCCUCACUUCAGCACCCAGCAUCCGGACCCUCUCCAUUUCUACUCCUGGGUGCUUCGGAAUUGCUUCUUUGGUCACUGUCUCCAGGCCCAGACAAAUCUCAUUAAGGACAGGAGGACCAGGAACAGCAGUGUGUCUAUGCAACUUCUUCCAGGGACAUUCCCAGGCAGCCCAGGCCAUCUUCAGUGUUCCAUGAAUCCCAGUUUAAGAAAGAGCACGUGCGACCUGCCUGACUGGAAUUUGUUUGUGUACAAGAAGAGACGGGGACAGAGACACAGACAGAACCUCACAGUGCAUGGACGUCAAGGAGUCAUCAGGGUGCGAGGCCAGAUCUCCAACCCAGGCUGGCCAGAGUCUCCGGGAGGUCCUCGUUGGUUUUGUCUGAUUAGCUAGCCUGUUCCAGAGGCUGAAGCCAGCACUGAAUCCAUGGAAUGAACUUCCCAGAGUUGUGCAUUAUGGGUUGGGGAACAUGGGGUCUAAUGGUGCCCUUCCUGCCUCUGAAGAGGGAUAGGACACUCCUCUCUUCUCAAAUUAGACAGGAAAAAAAUGUCUGUCCUAAGAGAGCUUAGUGUUGCUCAGGGGACAGAGUAGAUAAGAAAGAGGAAUGUGUUUCCCAGGGGCAGAAUACUACUGGGACAGGGUGUUGAACUCAGCAGAUAUCCCAGCAGGGUGACUAUGCCAGGAACCUUGUUGUCCUGUGUUCAAAUUAGGAGAGAACGUUGGUCGGAGGGACCAUCCAUGUCAGUCACACGGGCUUCUGUGUGCCUCAGGCUGUGACAGAUGUUGGCACAGUCUAGGGAGAAAGAACACAGGAGAUGACAUCUUACCAAUGUGACAGUGGGAGGGACAGGGAAAGCUUCCCAGAAGCUCUCACAGGAUGUGGGAGGCUGCUUACCAGGGCAAGAGCAAGUAAUGUGCAAAUACUCCGAGAAAUGCAAGCAGCUUUCUGAGUUGUCCAGUUGCGUGCAGACUCCAGGAAGAGAGAUGAAGUUGUCAGGAGACAGGGCCUCAGCAGGUUGCUGCCCCAUCAUGAGGGGCUCAAGUUUCAGCCUGGUUAUAAUAGGCAUUACUGGCUUAUGGUGUGGCAGGUGGUGGUGAGUGUGGACUUACGUUGUUAAUGUGAAAUGUGAAUGUUGGCCUUGAAGGAACAAGCUUAGAGAGGCAGGCAGUGGGUUAUUAGAGGGCAGAUUUGGUGGAGAGAGAGGGCACAGCUGCCCCUGCAGUCACUCCACAGCUGUGGUUUUCAUGUGUUUGCUCUGAGGUGGGUCUGAGGCCUCAAGCAAUGUGACCUGUGAUGGGAUGGGGGUGCGGGAGCAGGGGAGGGCAUGUAUAACGUUGGCAGGAGACUGCCCGAGUCCCACAUGGGCACUUGCAGGCCUCAUUCUCACCCUGGGAACCCGUUUUGGGGCAGUCAGGACAGGCUGACUAGGGAGACUUCUCUGGGGAGAGAAGGCUACCUCCUGAACAAGACCAGGUUUCCUGCAAGAAAUGGAGCAAAUGACAUUACCUUCCCAUAACACAUGAGGAGACAUGUGUGACUGUUCUUUGCUUCCUGUUUUCCCAGGCUGGGGGAGAGAGCAUAGGGUACUGUUCCCCAUAGAGUUUAGGGGCACCUUAGCCUUCCAGCCCUCUUUCCUGAGCAAGGCAUGGUAAAAUCUACCCCUUGUUGUCCGAGAUUUUACCUGGAGAGAUCUAUGCUGGGGUGGAUAGCUCUUCCGAAGGGCUGGCUAUCUAGUUUGCAGCCAGCGCAACCCCAGCACACGGUUCACAAGCCAUGGAGCUGGGGCAGGUCCUCUUCUCGACUUCAAAGCAGAAAGACACGGGAAAGAGGCUUUUCAUGUCUUUGAAACACACAGGACUUACAUGACUGACUGUGCAGUGCUAUAGCACCCCACUGGUUCUUCAAGGACUCACUGCUUCCUUUGGCCAAGGUCCCACCCUCACUUCUCCCUGCUUUGAUCAGCAUCUCUGCAGUCUGCUUCUGGCUCUACAAGAGUGAGGUGGCUCUUUAGGGGUUUCUAUGGAAUUGGUUUUUUCAAAGUCUGAAGUGACAGGCUAAAUUCCCAAGUGUGCUACAAGUGGGCACACUCAUCAUUUGUCACAAAAGAGAGGGAGUACGUAUAAAAUGAAUGAGGACAUGCACCUUCCUGGUCCUGUGGGUGACUCCACAGUCCCCUUCCCUUGGAGUCAGGUUCUUACACGAGGCUUGGCUUCUCUUCAGUAGCGGCAGGCAGCAGCAGCACAGGUUUUUGAUACAGUUCAUGAUUCUUUCUUUCCCCCUUCCAGAGGUGAUGCUGUCACCAGGGGAGGCUGGACCUGCCAUCUCGUGCUGGCCAUUAGUAAUGGUCUCUUCCUGAAUGAUGGGCAUUUCCUGACUAUUGGCCAGAUCCUGAAUGAUGGCCUCUUCCUGUGUGAGGGCCUCUUCCUGUGUGAGGGUCUCUUCCUGUAUGAGGGUCUCUUUCUCCAAGGCAUCCCAGAGGAGGAGCCUGAGGCUUAUGCUCCUAGUUGCCUGCAGGGAUGCCCAGAGCUCGUCUUGUGGAGGGCAUAUUCCUGUCUUUGUCAGUUGUAGAUUCAUUGUCUGGUCAGAAGAGGAAGUAUAUAGAAAUGGAGACACGGCAGGUUCAGUCAAGCUACCAUAGAAGACAAGUUUGGACUGCGAAAAUCUCAACUGAUUUCCAGUCUGCUUCUCAUGAGGGAGUCAGUCACAGGACAGUCCAUGUGGGAUAGUUAUGGACGGUGCGUCCUCUUUGGCUGGCAGCACACAGCAUGUCUUCUGCCCUCCUGACAGGAAAUCUCCUCCCCCUCCUCCUCCUCCUCCUCCUCCUCCUUCUCCUCCUCCUCCUCCUCCUCCUCCUCCUCCUCCUCCUCCUCUUCCUUUAGCUUAGAUGAAGGUGAAAACAAGGUGUAGAAUGAAGAGCCUCAGAAGCUCUCCUUAGGAAAGCAGGGAAGGAGUGAAGGUCUUCCCGGCCAGGCUGCAUGCAUUUUAAGGCUUUCAUUUAGUGGUGGGAGCGCUCUCUCCUGGGUGACUGGUGUUGUGGAAUCAGAUAGGUUUCUAUCACCUCAUUGAAUAUUUGCUCUCAGAGACUCUAUGAUUUCUUCAUGCUUAUACCCCAUGUCUUUCAUGGUUGGGCUAUGCUAGGGCUCCAGUUGCCUGGGAAACUCUGUGUGGAAAUAGGUGGUAAACCUGCCUCACUGUCCCUGUUCAUGGGGUGCCUCAUGAUGAUGUGUAUGGUGGGGCUCGUGAUGGGAUUGAUCAUCAACAGUUCAGCGAUGUCUUUGAAAAUGUUGGUGGAAAGAUUAGGAAGAAUGCUGAAGCUUGAGCUGACCUGCUGCCUUUUCUCCAUAAAGUCCUGCCUUGGAAAGGAAAGCUCGUGGCCACCAUGAGGAAGAGGAGGAUACCUAAACUCCAGAUAUAGACUGGGCAGCACUCAUAUUCCUCCACAUGUAGGAUUUCCAGGGCACAGUAGGGCAGCGUGUCACAGAAAUCCACCUGCUUUUGCCAGGAAUCACUUUAGCAGUCAGGCCAGAAUCCUACAGCUUGGUGUUCUUCCUGCAGUUGAUCAAAAUGUUGCUGCUCAGCCUUUAUGUCUCUAUGGACAAUGUCAUGGUAGUGCUGUGCCACAUGUAGUAUCUGGGCAAACGCCCUUCAUCUAAUUCUCCUCUAAAUACCUUCAUUCUUGUAUGCAGUCUAAUAGCUCUCUCUUGAGGCUUGCUCCAUCACUAGGUAGGUGCUCUUUCUCCUCUAGACCACGUGAAACAGAUUGAUAACGUUAGAAUUGGUAAGGGAUUUCAUAAUGCUGACCUCGCUAUUAAUACUAUUGAUAAGUGAGGUGUACUUCAUGUUCCUGGGAAAUUUUACACUUGUCAGUGUUGGUACAUGGUAGGCCAUUUUGACCACUGAAGUGUUUCCUUUGCACAGUGUUUCCUGUCUGCUGACGUCUUUGUUUUUAGUUAAGACGUGUUUUAUAUCCUUCCAAGUUCAUCUGCUUACACAUGAGUCCCUCAUACACAUAAGAGGCUGUCCAAGCCAGGAUGAAAUGGCCUUAGUCAAACAAAGAUAUUGGGUACCAUAAACUCACCAUGUAUGAUUUGUGGUCUUUAAUUUCCUGAAAUUGUUCAUGCUUUGUGUUGCUUGCCUUUAAAAAGGCACUGAGAAAAUACAGUGCUGCCAUGGUAUUCACCAGCAGCCCCCUCAUAUUCGUCUCUUGCAUGUUCUUUCUGCCUUUCCAAUAAAACAUCCGCACUUCUCCAGUCAUGGUUCCCAAGUUGACUGACAGGCCAGCUCCUGGCAUGGGGGGGGGGUCCUGCUGUGUGAACAUGCCAGAAGGGUCUAGAUGUGUCCUUCAUACAGACUUAGGGAAGUGAGCAAUGGGUCUCGCCAGUCACCAGAGAGGAGGCACCCCAGGGUGACAGCUCUCCAAUAGGAACUACAUCUCAGUGACCUGGUGUGCAACCGAGAUGGUCAUGGGACCAGCAGCUCUGGGACAGCAUGCUGGAACAUUAGGUGGAGGAUCCCUCCAAGCCUUUGUCUGGGGCCAGGGGAGGGAGGGGUUAAAUGAGGGAGAAUUAAGUAGAGGAAAGGUAGUCAUCCUUGCCCUGUUUCCCUGUCUUCCUUCUGUAGUUUGGAAGCAGAGAGAGGUGCUGGGCAUCUGAGACAGUGUAGACCCCGCCCUAGGUGCUCUGAGUCACCUUCCUAGUUAUUCUCACCCUGUCUCUCUUGCCUCUUAGGAAACAGCACCUUCAGACAUAACCCUAGCUGGAGUUAGGAAGGUGACCAUAAUUCUUAGUGAAUUUUAAUCUUAGUAAAGCAGUGAGAAGAGAAAUUAUUUUUCUUAUUUGGG
rnacentral:lncRNA from 1 species